rnacentral:rRNA from 1 species
UACGUAGGAGGCGAGCGUUGUUCGGAAUUACUGGGCGUAAAGGGCGCGUAGGCGGCCUGUUAAGUCGAACGUGAAAUCCCCGGGCUCAACCCGGGAACUGCGUCCGAUACUGGCAGGCUUGAAUUCGGGAGAGGGAUGUGGAAUUCCAGGUGUAGCGGUGAAAUGCGUAGAUAUCUGGAGGAACACCGGUGGCGAAGGCGGCAUCCUGGACCGAUAUUGACGCUGAUGCGCGAAAGCCAGGGGAGCAAACGGG